AAAAAAGGCUAAUGCAAUCAACACCAGCAUCCUUGCACAGUUGCACAUAAGCUUUAGAAGUAAACCUUCAUCAAUUGAUACAACCCAACUACCCACCAUGUAUCUCCAUAAACCCAUUAAAACUAUAACUAUAAUCUCAACUUCAGGUGGAAACCUUAAUAGAUUCAAAUAAAGGUCAAUAUAAAACAACAAGUACUAUAUGAAGGAAGACACAUUACCA
rnacentral:misc_RNA from 1 species